rnacentral:rRNA from 1 species
UACAGAGGUCUCAAGCGUUGUUCGGAUUCAUUGGGCGUAAAGGGUGUGUAGGUGGCGCGCUAAGUCGGGUGUGAAAUCUCGGGGCUUAACUCCGAAACUGCAUUCGAUACUGCGGUGCUUGAGGACUGGAGAGGAGACUGGAAUUCAUGGUGUAGCAGUGAAAUGCGUAGAGAUCAUGAGGAAGACCAGUGGCGAAGGCGGGUCUCUGGACAGUUCCUGACACUGAGACACGAAGGCCAGGGGAGCAAACGGGA